rnacentral:misc_RNA from 1 species
GAUGAAGAACGCAGCGAAAUGCGAUACGUAAUGUGAAUUGCAGAAUUCAGUGAAUCAUCGAAUCUUUGAACGCAUAUUGCGCUCUUUGGUAUUCCGAAGAGCAUGCUUGUUUGAGUAUCAGUAAACACCUCAAAACUUUUGAUUUUUUUUUAAAAAAAAAAGGUUUUGGACUUGAGCAAUCCCAACACCAAUCUUUUUUAGAUCGGUGGCGGGUUGCUUGAAAUGCAGGUGCAGCUGGACAUUCUCCUGAGCUAAAAGCAUAUUUAUUUAGUCCCGUCAAACGGAUUAUUCCUUUUGCUGCAGCUAAUAUAAAGGGAGUUUGACCGUAUUGGCUGACUGAUGCAGGAUUUCACAAGGGUCGGCAACGAUUCUUGUAAAACUCGAUCUCAAAUCAAGUAAGACUACCCGCUGAACUUAAGCAUAUCAAUAAGCGGAGGA